rnacentral:lncRNA from 1 species
AGGCAUCAGCACGUAGAAAAAACUACCUGGGGAAAGUGUGUUCAUAGAGCACAUUUCAAUGAUCAGAGGUGAAGAAGCAAGCAGAGGAGACAGAGGAGUAGCUAGUGAAGUAGGAAGAAAACAGGAAAAGUAUGGUGACUUAAAAAGCCAAGACAGCAGGAGUUUCUGUUUUGGCUUGGCCAGUUAAAGAUCCAACUUUGGGUUGAGGGCCUCACACUGUGAAGAAUGAGUUCGAUCCCUGGCCUCACUCAGUGGGUUAAGGAUCUGGUGUUGUCACAAGCUGCAGUGUGGGCCGCAGAUGUGGCUGGGAUCUGGUGUUGCUGUGGCUGUGGCAUAGGUUGGCAGCUGCAGCUCCAAUUUGACCCUGAGCCUGGGAACUUACAUAUGCUGCAGAUGCAGCCAUAAAAAGAAAAAACAAAAACCAAGACACAAAGCAUGGCCACUGAUACUGAAACAUACUGAGAGGUGAGGUGAAAUAAAUCUUAUCAUCAGAUUUUAGCAACAGAUGGUAAUUAUGUGCCUUGACAAGCACAGUGAAGAAUAAAUGUGAUGUGAAGAAGUGAAUAUAGCACAGCAGACAUCUCAAGAUGUUUCACUUCAACUGAGAAAUGGACUUAAUAGAAAAACAUGUGAGGUCAAAGUACAAUUCUUAAAGAUGAGGGUGCUUAAGUAUGUUUUUAGGCUAAUGGGAGAAUGAUCCAGUAUAGAGGGAGGAAAUACAGUAUUUGAGAUAAAAUGUAUAUUUUAGGAGUGUUGUCUUUGAGAAAAUGAGGGGAUAAGGUCCAGGAAAUAUGUAGAAAUGUUGGCUUAGAAACAUGAACAUAAAAUGUAUAGGAAUGAGAAGAAAGGUGGCCAGUAUAGGUAUAGAGAUGCAGAUACAUGGGUAGAUUUGGUGAUCAGAAGAUGAGUUUCUGCCUCAUACUCUUUUUUUUUUUUAAUGAGUGUAACAAUAGUAUGAGGCAAGAUCAAUAAAAGAGAAGAAGAAUCUUUGGAUAAGAGGUUUAAGAGGUGAAGAGAAGAUAGAGAAUAGUCAUUUUGAACAUAGGCAGUCAUAUUUGUCUUUGUUCAGGCUGCUAUAACAAAAAAAUACCAUAGUUUGGGUGUUUUGUAAACAACAGAAUUUUUUUUUUUUCCUCACAGUUCUUGAGGCUAGGAAGUCCAAAUCCCAUUCAUGAGUACCCUGCCUUCCUGGGCUAAUCACCUACAAAAUGCCCGUCUCCUAAUCCAUCACAUUGAGGUUAGGAUUUGAACAUAUACAUUUUGAGGAGAUACAAACAUUCUAGUAUUGCUAUACUAGAGAAGCACAGUGGCAUAGCUAGCCAGAAGUGAGUGGCCAUAUAUUUGUGACAGGGUGGCUGAGAUUGGAUGGGAAAAAGAUCAUAGGAGCCAGGGAAAUCAAGGAAGUGAAAGACUGACAUGGUGGGUAGGUAGACAACCUGGGUAUUAGUGCUUAAGUUAGUAGCUAAACUAGUCCUUGAACUCAGAGAUCCUAACUCUUCCAGUUCAGUGGGUUACCAUUUUACUGAGAAAUGGUUCAGAUUGUUACUUUUUUACGCCAUCUCCCCUUCCAGUUAACAUUUUUUUUAAAAAAUUGUGGCUUGAAUUUUUUUUUUGCUUCACUUAUCUAAAUUCUGGACUUUCUCUCUCUCUUGUCCCUUUAAUAUUUAUUUGUUAAAAUUUUUGAUGUUGAUGUUUCUCUCUCUCUUGUCCCUUUAAUAUUUAUUUGUUAAAAUUUUUGGCUUGAUUAUCCGUGUGUGUGUGUUUGUGUGUGUGUGUAUUUUGUUUUUGUUUAAAUCCCUUUUUAAGCCACAAUUCACAUAUCAUACCAUGCAUAACAAAUUCAUCUAUUUAAUGUAUACAAUUGAAAUUUUUUUUAUAUCCACAGAUAUGUAUAACCAUCACUACAGUUGUAAAACAAUUUCAUCACUCCAAGAAGACUGAUGGAAUAGCAUAUCUUUUAGCUAAAACCCCACCCCUACCCUAAGCAACACUAAUCUUUCUGUCUCCAUUUCUCUAUUCUGUACUUUAAUAUAAAUGGAAUCAUAUUUUAUGUGAUUUUUUUGUGAUUGGCUUCUUUCACUUAGCAUUAUGUUUUCAAGGUUCAUCAUAAUGUGUAUCAUACUUUAUUCUUUUUCUGGCUGAAUAAUACUCGAUUAUAUACCACUUUUACUUAUCCAUUCAUCCAUUGAUGAAUAUUUGUGUUGUUUAUGUCUUCUUGGCUAUUGUGAAUAAUGCUUCUAUAAAUAUUCAUGUACAAGUUUCUGUGUGGACAUAUGCUCUCUUGAGCAUAUACCUAAAAGUAGAAUGACUGGGUCAUAUGGUAACUGUUUAAUCAUUUGAGUAACUGCCAGACUAUUUUCCAAAUGGCUGUACCAUUUUACAUUAUCACCAAGUGAUGAGCAUCCCAUUUCUCUAAAUCCUUGUCAACAUUUGUUGUUAUCUGACUUUUCUAUUAAGUGGGGUAUAGGAGUUCCUGUUGUGGCUCAGCAGGUUACCAACCCGAGUAGUUAUCUGUGAGGAUGUGGGUUUGAUCCCUAGCCUUGCUCAGUAGAUUAAGGAUCUGGCAUUGCUGUGAGCUGUGGUGUAGAUCACAAACAAGGCUUGGAGCUGGUGUUUCUGUGGCUGUGGGGUAGGUAGGCUGGCAGCUAUAGCUUCAAUUCGACCCCUUGCCUGGGAACUUCCAUAUGCCUCAUGUGUGGGGGGCCC